GGUUGAUCCUGCCAGUAGUCAUAUGCUUGUCUCAAAGAUUAAGCCAUGCAUGUCUAAGUAUAAACAUCUUUAUACAGUGAAACUGCGUACAGCUCAUUAUAUCAGUUAUUAUUUAUUUGAUGGUACCUUACUACAUGGAUACCCGUAGUAAUUCUAGAGCUAAUACAUGCGCAAAGUCCCGACUCUCGCGGGGAGGGAUGUAUUUAUUAGAUAAAAAACCAAUGCUCUGCUUCACGGUAGAGGUUCUUUUUGGUGAGUCCUAGUAACUGUUCGAAUCGCAUGCCUUCACUGG
rnacentral:rRNA from 1 species